UAAUACGAAGGGUGCAAGCGUUGUUCGGAUUUAUUGGGCGUAAAGCGCACGUAGGCGGACUUAUAAGUCAGAUGUGAAAUCUCGGGGCUCAACCUCGAAACUGCGUCUGAAACUGCAAGUCUAGAAUCUUGGAGGGGGAAGGGGAAUUUCACAUGUAGGGGUAAAAUCCGUAGAUAUGUGAAGGAACACCAGAGGCGAAGGCGCCUUCCUGGACAAGUAUUGACGCUGAGGUGCGAAAGCGUGGGGAUCAAACAGGAUUAGAUACCCUGGUAGUCCACGCUGUAAACGAUGAACACUAGAUAUUGGAGGAUUUGACCCCUUCAGUGUCGUAGCUAACGCAUUAAGUGUUCCGCCUGGGAAGUACGGUCGCAAGACUAAAACUCAAAGGAAUUGACGGGGGCCCGCACGAGCGGUGGAUUAUGUGGUUUAAUUCGAAGCAACGCGCAGAACCUUACCUAGGCUUGAAAUCCUACGAACCUGGCUUAAACGCUGGGGUGUCCUUC
rnacentral:rRNA from 1 species